ensembl:lncRNA
AGAUCUGGGAAAUACUGCAGCAAGCUCACUAAAGAUAUCUGCUUCUUGUUCAGAGACAGCAGCAUGACAAAGCAUCAGGUUAAAUAUAGUAUUUGAGAGAGAAACAUCUCAUAGUGACAAGAGUAAGCAAUCCAUGCCAGCAAAAUGCAGUCGUUAAACUGUGUGUGCGCAUCGCCAGGGACAGGACGCAGCAUCUCCAGUCUCUCCCAGAGCCUCUCAGCAGGCAGCACAAGGAAAAGGCUCCCUCUCUGAGCAAGUGCACGGUUUCUGUGUUCCGUGGCAAGGUGAGCCCCGAGAUCCCUCCAGCAGAGGGGAGUGCAGCCUGUGCAGCAGGAGAAGGGGAGAGCUUGGCAUCUGCACCAUGUCUGGAACAAGAUUCCAUCUUGAACAAGUAUCGGUGAAAAACACCACGUUCCUUCUCGAGUCUCUUGGAAAAGCAGGCUGAGGUCAGCAGGCUUUCAGAGAGGGAAAUUUGGAAAGAAGCUGCUGCUAGAUGAGAUUAUUGCUAAAGGUACACAAGUUCUCACCUUUUGAAAGCCCUCCCCUAAACGUGGCUUCUCAUGGGGACCAGCUAUGAGACACAUGGAAUCACAGAAUCAUUAAGAUUGGAAAAGACCUUUAAGAUCAUCUAGUCCAACCAUCAAUCCAUCACCACCCUGCCCACUAACCCACGUCAAACCUUACCUUGGGACGAAGAACAGUAUGCUGAGCAUAUCCUGCCAGAGUCCUCCUUCAACCUUGCUUUUGAAGCAGCUGGUGCUGGAUGCUGACAAGAGGCAUACCAAGAUACAACAACCGCUUUGUGGUUCAUUUGUGAGCCUGUCAGCCAGCAACAUCCUUCUUCCAAUUUCCUCUCUCAGCAGCCAUAUAAUUCAUCUGGUCUGUGUGCACACUCUUGGCUCGUCUGCCAUCAACCAGCAGAGCAGGGACAGUUUGGAGGACAUCUGCUCUGAACACAUUGGCCUGAUGCUGAAUGAUGGAACUAGUUUGUACUGACGAGGACUGACUCUUAAAUCUUCCCAGGUUGAAGACUAGCAGAAAUACAAGAGGCAAAAUUGUCCAUGUCAAGCAAAGGGAUAAAAUAACUAAGUGUUUUUACUCCUUUGCACCAAAUUGGCAGCGAGUAAAUACUCACCAGGUUUUCUCUACAAGCGAAGCACUUCAUAAAGCAGAUCAAAGCCCUUCCUGAAUCUCAACAAUAGUACGGCUCAUUUCUGAGUAACACAUCCCAUGGAGAGGUCUCCUUGCAGGCACAGCACCAGCCAAAACAGGAUUAGCAAGUGGUGGAAAUAAGCAGAAAUUUUCACACUUCUGAAAGCAAUAGCUGCUAGAGUAACUCACAACGUGCAAAGUGUCUUCACUCAGAAGAUUCCUAAGCUCAGAAAAAAAAAGGCUUGCAGUGGAAUCCCACACUGCCAAAAUGCCACCGCUUUUAAGGACAGCCUUUGAACCUGUUAAAUCGCAUUUCACAUUCUUGUUCCAACUCAUUCAGGGGCGCAUGGAAAGAAAGCUGACUGCAAGAUGCCUUGAGCUUGGUCUCCUGAGAUUAUAUAGAACGAAAUAGACUUUAUUGACUCAAAUACACUGCAAAUAUCUCACUGCCGUCUGUCCUUGUACACUAUUGUCAUUAUCCUUUUCAGGAACUACAGUGGAGACUCCAACCAAAAGGAGGGUCCCAACAGGUAUCUGUGGAGCAACGUGUUGGUUUCCAUAGGAAACUGUCAGCAUCACCACAGAGAAAUAAUUUCCCUGCGCUGCCCUUGUGUGUUGACUGCAGAACUGGCAAAGACCUGAGGCUCAAAGCGGUUAGAGCGAAAACGAAAGUAUAGUGACUCUACAUUUUGAUGGUAUGUUUAGAGAUCUCCCUUGGCAGUCAGGAUGGGAAGACUGGAAAUAAAGGGGCUGCCCGAUGCAGAACAUUCCCUCACUGGUAACCACGUAUUUGUGCUUGUGCUGCAGUACAGAGGUUUCUUGCCUUCCUUCGCACAGUGCAUCCGAGGCAUAGUGUUAAAUAAAGCGCCUCAUUUUAACAUUGCAUGAGUUGUGCCCUUGCCUCCAUGCCCUCCACUUUAGGCAGAUAUGAUGUAUAUGGGAGAUGGGACUGCCGCGGGGAACUCUCUACAGACUCAUAUGGCAUUUGUCAAGUGAAUGACAGUGCUAUCAGCACUGGGACU